AACGAACGCUGGCGGCAUGCCUAACACAUGCAAGUCGAACGAGACCUUCGGGUCUAGUGGCGCACGGGUGCGUAACGCGUGGGAACCUGCCCUUAGGUUCGGAAUAACUCCCCGAAAGGGGUGCUAAUACCGGAUAAUGUCUUCGGACCAAAGAUUUAUCGCCUUUGGAUGGGCCCGCGUUGGAUUAGCUAGUUGGUAGGGUAAAAGCCUACCAAGGCGACGAUCCAUAGCUGGUCUGAGAGGAUGAUCAGCCACACUGGGACUGAGACACGGCCCAGACUCCUACGGGAGGCAGCAGUGGGGAAUAUUGGACAAUGGGCGAAAGCCUGAUCCAGCAAUGCCGCGUGAGUGAUGAAGGCCUUAGGGUUGUAAAGCUCUUUUACCCGGGAUGAUAAUGACAGUACCGGGAUAAUAAGCUCCGGCUAACUCCGUG
rnacentral:rRNA from 1 species